rfam:Chlorocebus sabaeus isolate 1994-021 chromosome 17, whole genome shotgun sequence.
AAGACUGUACUUUCAGGAAUAAUUUCUAUAGUUCAUUACUAAAGAAAUUUCUCUGAACAUGUAGAGCACCAGAAAAUAUUUUAAAAUAUU